rnacentral:rRNA from 1 species
GUUCCUGGCUCAGAACGAACGCUGGCGGCAGGCUUAACACAUGCAAGUUGAACGGGAUUUGUGUGGUGCUUGCACCAUAUAAUGAGAGUAGCGCACUGGUGAGUAACACGUGGGAACGUGCCUUUUAGUGGGGGAUAACAUCUGGAAACGGAUGCUAAUACCGCAUACGCCCUGAGGGGGAAAGAUUUAUUGCUAAGAGGUCGGCCCGCGGUAGAUUAGGCAGUUGGUGGGGUAAAGGCCUACCAAACCUACGAU